CUUCUUUAUCCAUUCAUCAGCUCUUGGACAUUUGGGUUCUUUCCAUAGUUUAGAUUUUAUUCAUAUAACUGCUAUAAACUUUGGGGUGUAUGUGCUCAAGGAUUUAUAACUUGAUUCUUUAAUCUGUCACCUCUGCCAUCAAAUAAUAUUUCCUCGCAUAUAUAUGUUACUUCACUAGAUGAACAAUAUACAACCGAACACAAUAAUAAACUUCCAUUUCCCCUUUCUGACCUUUGUGACAUUCAUGUCUUCUGUUUUACUUGACACUUGCUAUAGACUAAGCAGUAUGUUGCUUUUACAUUUCCUUAAACCUUACUGUAUCUUUUAGAGGAAAAUUUUAAAUGAGAUGAUGAAAGUCUGAUAUUUUUCCAGUUACUAUUUGUACCCUCUUCAUUACUUCCUACAUACCAGUGCCCAUCUGUUACCAUUGUCUGUUGGCCUGAAGAACUCUCAUCGACAUUUCUUGUAGUGUGAGUCUAUUCUAUGACACUUGCAGUGUUGAUAUGCCUGAAAUGGAUUUAUUUGUCUUCAUUUACUUAAGGAAACUUUUCUAGAUGUGGAAUUUGAGAUUGUCAUUGGCAUUUUCCUUCUUUCAUGAUUUAAAGAUGUCAUUUAACAUUAUUGGUUUAUAAUUUCUUCUAAUAAAGAGUUGGCAGCCCAUUUAGCCUUUACCCAUAUGUAUCAUGUGUGCUUUCUGAAUGUUUUCAGAUUUUUCUUUCUCACUCAUUUCCACAAUUUCAUUAUUAUAGGUCACUGUCUGAUUUUGUGUUUGUGUUUUUCUACUUGGGGUUCACAGAAACUUUUGCAUGGAUGGGUUUAUGGUUUUAUCCAGUUUGGAGAUUUAAGGCAAUUACUGUUGGGUCUCACCCAUUCUUGUGUUGUCCCAAGAGUCACUGAUGCUCUUUACAUUUAUCUCCUAUCUCUUAGUGUCUCUGGGCUUCCAUUUGCAUAGUUCCUAUUGCUGUAUCUUCAAGUUCUCACACUUUGUCUGCAUCAACCCAUCAUUCUUUCUUGUUUGAUUUUGUUUAUAUUUAUUUAUUUUUGAGAAAGAAACAGAACAUGAGUAGUGGAGUGACAGAAAGGGAAACACAGAGUCUGAAGCAAGGUCUUGUCUCUGAGCUGUCAGCACAGAACAAGACGUGGUGCUUGAACCAACAAACCAUGAGAUCAUAACCUGCACCGAAGUCAGAUGCUUAAUUGACUCAGCCACCAAGGUGCCACUCAUCCCUUCAUUCUUAAAGCCCAUUUGGUAUAGUUUUUCAUUUCACAUAUCCUAGUUUCAGCUCUGUAAAUUCUAUUAUUCUUUAUGAUUUCCCUUUGUCCCCGCAUCACAUGUAUAUUUUCCUUUAAUUCCUGAGCAUAUUUAUAAUGGCUCUUUUCACAUUUUCACCUGCCAUUUGGGGUCUUUGUCUGUGGACUGCUUAUUCUCAUUGUCACGAGUCCCAUUACCCUGCUUAUUUGGAUGUCAAGUAAUUUUUUAUUGGAGGGUGGACAUGAGACUGUGACAGUGUUGAAAAUCUGGAUUUUUUAUACCCUUCUUAUGAGUGCUGAAUGUCAUUUUGGCAAUUAGUUGAUAAUUUCUGUCUCAGCUUCAUCUUCUCUAGGUUUAAUGUUUUUAUUAUGGUAAGAUAUACAAUGCAUAGUAUGUACAAUUUCCUCGACUUAUUUUUAGGCUUUGAUGGAUGAGUUGAGAUUAGCAUUUGUUCUAAAGUCAUGUUGUUAGAUUUAAUACUGAAAUGUGACCUUUCAUGGGGUCUCCUGAUCCAUGUAUUGAUUCAUUUUGCUGUGUUGUAUUUAAAGAUGACUCUGAGUGACACAUUUGGGUUUGUAUUGUUUGACUCUUUUGGCCUCACCAUGACUUUAGUAAAAAUAGAUCUCACAUAUUAAUUUUUCAUCAUGAAGGAAAGUUAACAUUCCUUUAAAAUGUAGUGUCCAAGUGACGAUGUCAGGAAGGCCAAUGAGCCUUCAGUGAUUGGCCAGCUGAACAAGGCCAACCUGAGGGAGCCCUGGUGAUUUUCCAGGCAUGGUUGUGACAUCACUAAAAGGCAUUGUGACACACCAGUGCUGUUAUAAAAGCCAGUCAAGACCCAGGUGGUACUGAGGAGAGUCAUGACACUUCAGCCACAACUGUUCCUGCCAUUCCUCCUGUUGUUUGCCUGGGUUGUCUUCCCCUGUUGAUGGCAAACCCAUUGCCCACUAUGAGCCUUCAAACUAUAAGCCCUCCAUCUCAGCUUAGCAUUGGACAGAAAACUCACUGGGAAACCAGCCUGAACUGGUAGCUCUUUGACUGGGAGCCCUCCAACUCAGCAGACAAGAGUCAUGCUGUUGUCAAGUGAAUACAUGGCGAUUCUCUUGCCCAUUCAUCAGAGGCAGUACCAGCACCUUCACAGUACCAGCCCCUCCUCAAGAGUCUCCACAGAGAGAAGGGCCACGCAGACUGUCCUGUUGCUUCGUUGAAAAAAAAAUGAAUUGGAUGAAUUCUGCAUCAAAUACAUUUCUCCUUUGAUAGUGAUGGAGACAUAAAGUCUUUCUAAUAUAAACAGAAACUGGGAUUGCUAACAAUAAAUAUUCCUUACAAUGUAUCUUAAAGAAGGUCUUCAGAGGGAAAAAUGAUACCAGGUACCAAUUCCAAUAAGCAUGGAUGAAUGUCCCUGUUUAUUCCUCCCUCGGGCUCUUGGUAUCUUCCAACUGUUAUCCUUAUACUCCAAACACAGACAUUUAAAACAAAGGAUUGCUACUUUCUGUAAUUCAUUAGUUGAGCCACAGGAAUUUUUAAUUAGGUCUUUCUCCCAUGUUGCCCCUCGUGCUUUUCCACACUUGAUUUACAGAGCACACACACUGGAGAAUUCUGAAGAUGAACAAGAACCAGGUUUUAUGACAAAUAUGGAAAAGAAACCAGGGUCCUGGGAAGAACAAAGGCAGAAGGGAGGGGUCAAAUAUAGGUCAAAGAUCCAGAUCUGGAACUGUGGGAAAAAGGAACCUGGUCCUGUGUCUACCAUGCUAAAGGCUCCAACCACAAAAAUCAAACAACAGCCUCAAACUGCCCACUUUUGUGCAUGCUGUGCUGUGAGCCCCUAAUUUUCUCCAAGAUCACAGAGGUCAGCAGUAGAUAUGCAUUUCAAAUUGAAACAAGGCUCAUAUGUAGUUCAGCCCAGGAGGAAGGUGGAUAUUGGCCAAUUCUAAAGGAAGUGGUUCCCCAAGGCCAGCAUUCUCCUCUUAGACCCUAAGGAAGUGGGUCCUGACCUGGAGGGAAAUGUCAUGGUACAUAACCCAGCAUUUUGUGUCUAAGCAAGCCCUGGACAGGUAAUGAGGGGUACUUUUGGUAAGGUUCUCCUCACUGUGUUUACCAAUGGAGAAGGGCCGCUAAGAGUAGGCGCUGGACAAACAGCUCUAAAAAGAGUCUUUCAGACAGUGGUGCUGGGCCCCAACCUUUAAGUCUGGGGGCUCUGAUGUGGCAAGGCCCUGGGGAUAUGAGCUUCGGGUAAUACUGUCUCCUGAAUACUGCAAGGGGGUCUUAAAUGUUCAGGCCCAUACUUACCAAAAUUGCAGUGUGAUGUUCGGGGCCACACAUGGUACUGUUGUGGUGAUGAGUGCUCCAAAGUUAGAGUUCAGAUGUGGGGCAGCCUCUCCUCCCUAAAUCUAUUGGUGCUAUUCCCAGCCUGAAAAAGGUAUGUUUUGUGGUGCUUCUGGCAAUGUUAAGGCCAGCACUGGUCACAGUCUUAUGCCAGUCUUCUGGCAAUGUUAAGGCCAGCACUGGUCACAGUCUUAUUCAGGGGCUUUGCCACAGGGGAAUAUAGCUAGGGUGGCAGCAAAGCCUGGAUGGGUGCUGACGCCUGUACCCAAGGGAGAAGUAAUAGGUGAUAAAUCAUCAAAAGCUACCUUUGUGGUGCUGUCCAAGAUUUAUUGGCUUGGCUUUAUAUUUGGAAGUCAGCAAGGGCUAUCUGGGUGUAAGGGGCUGAGGACAAUGAGUGUGAAGAGAUGUCUGGAAGCAUAUUUGUCAGGGUGGAGAGGGGUCCAGUUAAGCCUAGUGCCUUUUGAUGCAAAGGAUACAGCCAGGCUGCCCCUGUAGCAGAUUCCAGGGUGGCCAUUGACCCUGGCAGAAUUGCAUUUUCCUGCAUCUCUCCUGCUGCACAUUCCCACUGGUGGCUGGAAGGACAGGAGGAGCAGGAGCAGUCCUGCAGCGAGCAGGGGGAGUCCCUGGAAAGAUGCUUAGCCUACGGUCCCAAAUGGGCACACACUCACCCCACAGUGCACUAUUGAUGGUCUGGAGUGCUGCUUACUCCUCAGAGUCUCAGUUAUCAGCUGUGCCUGGAAACCCACUCAAGGUGUGGUGGCCAUCUUGCAUGGUCCCAUUGUCCCCAGGAGUCACAGUCUUCUCUGUUCAUUGCAACCCAAAAAUCUUUUGUUUGUAUGGCCUUAAAGUGUCAGGUGCAUGAGAGGAGUUCCUCCAGCAUUGUUUCUUUUCCAAUUUUACUUACGUAUUAUCUUGGCCUGGUUCUUCUUCUGGGCCACCAACGAAGUUGUUGCUGGGGACCGAGGGUACUCCCAGUUCACUUACUGUGAGGUCUUCUACAGCAUCUGGAGCAUCUUAGACAAGAUCCAUCUAUUUUCUUUUGCAGCUUCAGGAAACAUCAGGAGGAGCUGUAUGAGAUCAUGUGGCAUGUUGUUUGGGGCAGAUCUUAGAACAGGUCUAAGGUUUAUUUUGGAACAUGCCUUUUGAGGUCUUGGGGUGGAAGUUUUCCUGCAGAACCCAUGGCUGGCAUGAAGGAAGAGACCCUUCCAUGGUUUUCCCAGGGCUGAAAGAAAUCUACAUCCCAGUGUCAUCAGAGCCCUUCCCUGAUUGUCCUACAUUUUUGACUGCUGAGUCAUUCUCCUGCUUUGCUGUCCUAUUCUCACUCUCUUUGAGAGCUGUCAACAUGCCCUGCUUUCAAGGACCCUGGCACACAUGGGCAUGACUUUACACACACUGACUGCAGGACAUGAGUGUGUUUGGAAUAGACAGUGUGGACUUCUCUGAUGUACUUGCCUACAGAUUGAGGCAGAAUCUACAGAAUCUGAAACUCAUAUUGGGAAGUGGUACCCUGAGGUAACUCCAUAUCUCCCAAGGGUUAUUGGAGGUUCAGGGGACUUUAGGACACUAGAAUAUCCCAAUUAGAUAGGGAUCCUACAAGCCCCCUCCCCAUUGAUACUGUGUCUACUACGUGCCCCCAGGGAUGCACAGCUGAGCAAGUUGAGCUGUCCUGCUUGCAUGAGCCUUGGGGACUUUGUCAUGUUCCCUCAACUCCUGGAUGUUUGAAGGGGGUGAUCAAAAACUGCCCAAUGUCUAAUCCACACUAUUGGUGUUCUGGGGAAGCUCUUGGGUGAUUUAAGCAGGUUGGGAAUACAAGGCUGGGUCUUGCGGAGUGAGAUGAGGAAUAACUCCUGGGGCUCUCUUCUCAUACAAUUUAGUGCAUAUACCUCCUGGAUUUCUGCCCCCCAGGGUCCCUUACUGGGAACCACAGCACUCCUUCUAUGUUCAGCAGCUGCUGGUGGAAUGAUAGCCCAGCCACUUCAGGACCUUGUAUAGAUUGGAUUCAGGUUCCUCAGGGAAUGGGCUUAGGAUAUCCUUCAGUACCUACAGGGAUUAUGACAUUAUUCUUAUCUCCUCUUUAUGGUCCCAAGCCUGGGCAACAUCCCAGGUUUUGGCUGGUUUUCCUGAACUGCCAUGUAAGCUAUGGAAGAGAUGAGAACAUGUGCCCGUGUUUUCCUUACCCCCUUCAUGACAAACUCACCACAUUUGCAUUUGCUCCUCUUGUGACUGAAAACCUGCUUCCCUGCUUUUAGUUAUAAGUAUAGCAAAGGGGGGCUUCUUGGGAGCUGAAAGGAAUAGCAGAAUCCAGCGUGACCAGAUCUACCCAUGCAGGAAACAAACAGUGAUGGCACCCAGGUAGAUCCACACAUCCUGAGGCAGCUCCAACAACUUGGGUUCAGCCUUGCUGACUCCCAAACCCUCUCCAUCCUGGGCCAUUUGGAGUAUUUUCUCCAGACUUCAUGCUGCAGCACCAGGGUGACACUAAGUGUCCAGAGAGACACUAAGAAAAGGACUGGGGGUUUCUUCAGAGAGGUUUCAUACAAGCUUCAGAUGGAAGGCCUCAGUGCCUAUAUGAGACCAGGCAUUUUAGGGUGGAAAUUAUAAAAGGAGAGAAUGAGAAGAGCUCCAAAGAAUUGCUUAUGAAUGGCAGAGAGAGUUUGUGUAAGACAUGGAGAAGGAGAUUUAUUACAGGCACCAUGUUGCUCUUUCUGUUUGAAUCCUUGCCAUCCUUGGAGUUGCCUUCCUUUGGACAAGGCAUCAAUGAAGUUCAGUGGCUAAUAAAAAGGGCAGUGAAGAGAUGGUGGAGGUGAAAACCCAUGGCCCUCUGCUCUUGGAAUGAUGGAUCCUGAUUAAAGGGUGAUGGGUCUUCAGUUGUGAGUCCUCUGGAUCUCAGGCCCUUCACCACUUUAGGCGAGGAGUGGGUCUCAUAUGUAACACUCAAUUGUUCCAUCACAGGUUUUCUCCUUGACCAGGAAUUAAGACUGUAUCAUCCUGACCAUUUUCUUGCAGUCACUGUCCCCAUGACUGUGCAGGACUUUGCCUGGGUCCCUCCUUGAUACUCACAUCCAUGUUCCCCUUCCUCCUUUCCCAGAUACACUCCAUUUCCUUUCCUAUGCCAAACUUCAGACUUAUAUGGUUCUCAAAUAUGAGGAAAGAUGGAUGACUUCCUGGCACCACUAAAUCAAUCCCUGGUCUAUCCUGUUUGGGGAGCACCCGUCAUGCAACUGAGAGGGAGAGAGUACUGACAGUGCCCACAUAUCCAGUUCCUGUUCUGUCACUGAGAUGACCUUCCUUGGGACACACUUUAUCCAAAAAUAGCCUCAAUAUUUCCCUUAACCUUUGCAGAUAAUGAGUGGAAAUGAGAGGACAAUAUUGACUCCAAUUACCCAGAAUCUCUACGUGAGACACCGGAAAGUGUCCCACAGUGGGGCCACAGAAACACAUGGUAACUGCCAGGGAUCUCACUAGUCCUUGAGGGAAACAAUGGAGGGCUUUUUCCCUGGGAUGGAGUAAGGAAUGGUUGCAGAGAGGGCAUGAACCACGGUGUAUGGGGAUAGGACUGGCGCUGUGAAGCAGGAAAAGUGGGUUCAGAGAGGUACGAUGACCCGAUGGCCCUGCCACCCAGAUAGAUGCUUUGUCCUACACCUAACCACUGCCGUGUGACAGGGCAACAGUGCUGUGACAACAAGUAUGUGAAGCAGGCCCAGCAUACCCUUCACACAGGCCUCUAGAACACCUGCUGGAAAUGGAACAUCUCCAGGGAAGCUGCUCAGGGCUCUUUCUCAUGGAAGCACAUUCACACAUCAGAUUCCACAGGGGUGUGAAUGCUGUCAUGAGCUAAGGGACAUGGCAGGAUAUGUAAUGACCACAGAGGAAAUCUUCUGGGACUUAUCCAGCUCAGGGGGUGGUAAUUCUGGUAGGGCAAACAGGACAGAAACGUGAAGGUUUGCUACAAGCCCUGUAGAUUAUGACAGAGAGGGUAUACCUCUCAUCCACUCCUGGCUCAAACUAGAACUUAGUCUCCUGGUUCUCAUAUCUGGGGGAAGGAUGUUUGUUGUCAGGUCAUGUGUAUUGUACUUCAAUGACAAGGAAGACCCUAAUCCCUCAUGCACAGUUCCUGAAAGGUGCUAACCAAGGUGCUAGCCCUGUCAGUCCAAGGUUUGACAUUUGACAAUGGUAAAGGGAGGGAAGCGCUGAUUUGGUGGGAAAUAUGAUUUAAAAUAGCAAAGUAAGAAACGAUGUUCACAAACACAGCUCCCUCAAUGCGCAUGGACACAAUUUCAUUUAUAGUAUGCUUGUAAACUAUGAAAAGAACAAAUCAGGCUUCUACACCUGUUUCCCUUUCCUUUCUGGUUUCCUGGCCAGCUUCCUUGGUCUCCAGAACAGCAGCUGCAAACCCACUGUUCCUGAAGCCCUCUCCCUCUGCUCCUGAGUGCUGUCCCCUACCUUCAGAGUAUUCCUCUUCGCUGCUGGAGUCUGCUAUGCUGUCCAGACAAAUCUGUAGGAACUGAUUUGUAUUAGAGAUUCAAAUAUUAGAAAUCUUGUUCUUAGUGAGAGGAGCUCACCCACCAGUCCCACUCAAGUUGAGGUUUCUGAGGGUCAUACAGCAUCUGCCUGAACUUUCUAUUCUGUUCUCAAAUAUUCAUUGGGCUCAGUGGAGGCAGAGCCCUUAAAGAAAUCAUGGAUCACAGUUUCAAAUGUUCCCAUUAGAUGGAAAAACUGCCAAAAUCACCUUCAUACUAUCAUUUCUACAUGCCCAUUAGACUUUGCCCCUGUAAAUGUCACAUCCAGAAAUUCCAACUCAAAUUCCAAGUUGAGAUGUGGCUAGUGUGAGGAAACAAUCAGAAGUUUUAUGUUAUUUAUUAUUUUAGUGUAGGGCACUGUGUUAAAGAUUAAUUGUGUAAAAUUUAUUUUAGACUGAUUCCACCCUAAAUCACAAAAAUCCAAAGAUGAAGAAGACAUAACCUCUGCUCCUCUGCUCAUUCCUCUGACAUUAAUUGUUGGCCAGAUCUGAUAUUUGAUGUGAAAAGGAUGAGGACAUCCCAUGAUUUAUGGAUACAGAAAGUCCUGGAAGACAUUCAUCUAAGUGAAAUAAGCCAAUCUCAGGAAAACAAAUACUGUCUGCACUUACAUGAAGAUUGGAAAAUAGUCAAGGACUCCUAGUAGCAGAGUGCAGAUGGGGGGUUGCCAAGAGAUUGGGGAGGAGGAAAAGGGGGGGGGCUAUUCCAUUAUUGUGGAGAAUUUCUCCUGUUAUAUGGAAGAGUCUGGAAACAUCCUGCACAACCCUGUGUAUCAAUUUAACAAUAAUGCACUGUCUUCAUGGAAACAUGUCAUGUUCCCUGUGUUUUACCACAAAAAUAUAAAUAAAGUAUAAAUUUAAAAAAGUGCAUUUCCCUUCCUUUAUGUUCAUCUGUUUUGUCUCUUAAAGUCCUCAUAUGAGUGAAG